rnacentral:rRNA from 1 species
ACGGGAGGCAGCAGUGGGGAAUAUUGCACAAUGGGGGAAACCCUGAUGCAGCAACGCCGCGUGAGUGAAGAAGUAUUUCGGUAUGUAAAGCUCUAUCAGCAGGGAAGAUAAUGACGGUACCUGACUAAGAAGCACCGGCUAAAUACGUGCCAGCAGCCGCGGUAAUACGUAUGGUGCAAGCGUUAUCCGGAUUUACUGGGUGUAAAGGGAGCGUAGGCGGUACGGCAAGUCAGAUGUGAAAGCCCGGGGCUCAACCUCGGGACUGCAUUUGAAACUGUCGAACUAGAGUAUCGGAGAGGUGAGUGGAAUUCCAAGUGUAGCGGUGAAAUGCGUAGAUAUUUGGAAGAACACCGGUGGCGAAGGCGGCUCACUGGACGAUAACUGACGCUGAGGCUCGAAAGCGUGGGGAGCAAACAGGAUUAGAUACCCUGGUA